rnacentral:rRNA from 1 species
CCUACGGGUGGCAGCAGUGAGGAAUAUUGGUCAAUGGGCUUACGCCUGAACCAGCCAAGUCGCGUGAGGGAAGACGGUCCUAUGGAUUGUAAACCUCUUUUGUCAGGGAGCAAAGGGCGCCACGUGUGGCGUUUUGCGAGUACCUGAAGAAAAAGCAUCGGCUAACUCCGUGCCAGCAGCCGCGGUAAUACGGAGGAUCCGAGCGUUAUCCGGAUUUAUUGGGUUUAAAGGGAGCGUAGGUGGAUUGUUAAGUCAGUUGUGAAAGUUUGCGGCUCAACCGUAAAAUUGCAGUUGAAACUGGCAGUCUUGAGUACAGUAGAGGUGGGCGGAAUUCGUGGUGUAGCGGUGAAAUGCUUAGAUAUCACGAAGAACUCCGAUUGCGAAGGCAGUUCACUGGACUGCAACUGACACUGAGGCUCGAAAGUGUGGGUAUCAAACAGGAUUAGAUACCCUUGUAGUC